AGCGCAGGCGGGAGAACAAGUUGGAAGUGAAAUCCAUGGGCUCAACCCAUGAACUGCUUUCAAAACUGUUUUUCUUGAGUAGUGCAGAGGUAGGCGGAAUUCCAGGUGUAGCGGUGGAAUGCGUAGAUAUCGGGAGGAACACCAGUGGCGAAGGCGGCCUACUGGGCACCAACUGACGCUGAGGCUCGAAAGUGUGGGUAGCAAACA
rnacentral:rRNA from 1 species